rnacentral:rRNA from 1 species
GACGAACGCUGGCGGCGUGCCUAAUACAUGCAAGUAGAACGCUGAAGGAGGAGCUUGCUCUUCUGGAUGAGUUGCGAACGGGUGAGUAACGCGUAGGUAACCUGCCUGGUAGCGGGGGAUAACUAUUGGAAACGAUAGCUAAUACCGCAUAACAGUAGAUGUUGCAUGACAUUUGCUUAAAAGGUGCAAUUGCACCACUACCAGAUGGACCUGCGUUGUAUUAGCUAGUUGGUGGGGUAACGGCUCACCAAGGCGACGAUACAUAGCCGACCUGAGAGGGUGAUCGGCCACACUGGGACUGAGACACGGCCCAGACUCCUACGGGAGGCAGCAGUAGGGAAUCUUCGGCAAUGGACGGAAGUCUGACCGAGCAACGCCGCGUGAGUGAAGAAGGUUUUCGGAUCGUAAAGCUCUGUUGUAAGAGAAGAACGAGUGUGAGAGUGGAAAGUUCACACUGUGACGGUAUCUUACCAGAAAGGGACGGCUAACUACGUGC